rnacentral:misc_RNA from 1 species
UUAUAAUAUUUACAAUGGUGGUCAAUCCAAGGACUUUUGGUUAACCGGAGUACACACAAAAGAGAGCGACCAGUUCUGAUUGAAAAUUAUGAGAUGAUUUAUUAAAGGUAGUAAAAAGGCCAAGGUAGCAACUACAAACUACCAGUUAGUUUACAAGAAUGAAUUUUCGUGGCACUAAACAGGCAUCGAGAUGGAUAUUUAUCAUAUUAGUAUCUUGGGGACUCGUUUUUGGAGUUUAUCAUUUUAAUAUUAUAAACAACAUAUAUUUGCACUAUACCUACUAUCGCCAACGUGAGGUACUUUGGAAUGACAAUAGAAAUGCUGUUUCAGAUUUUAAACCGGAGAGGAAUCGUUCAUCAACUCUCCCACUGAAAAAUACUUUGACGAGUGGACUGAAAGGAAGUGACGUCAAGGCCGACCUCCUAUCCCCUCUUCAUAUGCAUAUUAAUCUGGAGGCAGCGUCAAUAGUUAGGUAAGUUUAUCAACCGAAAAUAUCCUUCCUCUAUAGUUUGUCCAAACAAUUUCAACUAAGAAAAAAAUUUAAAAAAACUAUAAACUAGGCCU